UUAAGUGAAUAAGGGCGUACGGUGGAUGCCUAGGCACUUGGAACUGAAGAAGGACGCAACAAACGGCGAAACGCGACGGGGAGUGGUACGUACACAAAGAUCCGUCGAUAUCCGAAUGGGGAAACCCGGCAGCAGUAAUGAGCUGUCACCCAUGAGUGAAUACAUAGCUCAUGAGGGAGGUACCCGGAGAACUGAAACAUCUAAGUAUCCGGAGGAAAAGAAAAUAAGAAUGAUUCCGUAAGUAGCGGCGAGCGAACGCGGAGGAGCCCAAACCAGAUCUUGAUCUGGGGUUGUAGGACCACGAAAUGGCAAGAGCAUGGCUAAGAGAACGGCAUUGAAAGGCCGACCGGAGAGGGUGCAAGUCCCGUAACUGAAAGCGAUGUGAAGCCUAGUGGUAUCCUGAGUACGGCGAGACACGAGAAAUCUUGUCGGAAGCAGGCGGGACCAUCCGUCAAGGCUAAAUAUACCCAAGUGACCGAUAGUGAACCAGUACCGUGAGGGAAAGGUGAAAAGAACCGCGGGAGCGGAGUGAAAUAGAACCUGAAACCGUAUGCUUACAAGAAGUCAGAGCCCGUUAAAGGGUGAUGGCGUGCCUUUUGUAGAAUGAACCGGCGAGUUACGUUAUCGUGCGAGGUUAAGUAGAAGAUACGGAGCCGAAGCGAAAGCGAGUCUUAAUAGGGCGACAGUACGAUGAUGUAGACCCGAAACCGUGUGAUCUAGCCAUGACCAGGUUGAAGUUCAGGUGAAACUGAAUGGAGGACCGAACCGACCCCCGUUGAAACGUUGGCGGAUGAGUUGUGGCUAGGGGUGAAAUUCCAAUCGAACUCGGAGAUAGCUGGUUCUCCCCGAAAUAGCUUUAGGGCUAGCGUUGGCUUAGAUUACCGGAGGUAAAGCACUGAAUGGGCUAGGGGCCGAUAAGGUUACUGAACCCUAUCAAACUCUGAAUGCCGGAUAAUUGAUGGCCAGCAGUCAGUCUACGUGAGAUAAGUCUCGUGGACAAAAGGGAAACAGCCCAGACCCACAGCUAAGGUCCCAAAGAUACGCUAAGUGGAAAACGAUGUGGAGUUGCGAAAACAACCAGGAUGUUGGCUUAGAAGCAGCCACUCAUUAAAAGAGUGCGUAAUAGCUCACUGGUCGAGUGACCCUGCGCCGAAAAUUCAACGGGGCUAAACAAUGUACCGAAGCUUGGGAUUCUAGAUUUAUCUAGAGUGGUAGGAGAGCGUCGAAUAAGGGGUGAAGUCAGAGCGGAAGCGCUGGUGGACUUUAUUCGAGUGAGAAUGCCGGAAUGAGUAGCGAGAAUUAUGUGAGAAUCAUAAUGGCCGAAAAUCUAAGGUUUCCUGAGGAAGGUUCGUCCGCUCAGGGUAAGCCGGGGGCUAAGGCGAGGCGGAGACGCGUAGCCGAUGCACAUACGGUUGAAAUUCCGUAGCCACCGAAAGAUUUAAAUACAGGGACGCUUUAGAAGUGAUGUUGCCGGGCGAUGGUUGACCCGGUCGUAAGGGAUCGAAAAUGAGUAGAGAAGUCAUCAUGGAAAGAGACAAGAAAAGCUGUAUGUAUAUUUUAGGUGCCCGUACCGCAAACCGACACAGGUAGAUAGGAAGAAGAUUCUAAGGCCAACGGGAGAAGGGUUGUUAAGGAACUCGGCAAGUUGACCCCGUAACUUAGGGAUAAGGGGUGCUCAAGUGAUUGAGCCGCAGAGAAUAGGUCCAGGCGACUGUUUAGCAAAAACACAGGUCUCUGCUAAAUCGAAAGAUGACGUAUAGGGGCUGACACCUGCCCGGUGCCGGAAGGUUAAGAGGAGAUGUGAGAGCAUUGAAUUGAAGCCCCGGUAAACGGCGGCCGUAACUAUAACGGUCCUAAGGUAGCGAAAUUCCUUGUCAGGU
rnacentral:rRNA from 1 species